rnacentral:rRNA from 1 species
UCGCCUGUUUAUCAAAAACAUCGCCUCUUGAAAAAUAUAAGAGGUCCAGCCUGCCCAGUGACUCUGUUCAACGGCCGCGGUAUCCUAACCGUGCGAAGGUAGCGUAAUCACUUGUUCUUUAAAUGAGGACUAGUAUGAAAGGCAUCACGAGGGUUAUACUGUCUCCUUUUUCUAAUUAGUGAAACUAAUCUCCCCGUGAAGAAGCGGGGAUCUUUAUAUAAGACGAGAAGACCCUAUGGAGCUUUAAAUAAUAUAACAAUUGCUACUUUAUUUCUACUAACCUUAUAUUAUUUAGCAAUAUGAUUAUUAAUUUUUGGUUGGGGUGACCGCGGAGCAUAACACAACCUCCACAUUGAAAGGAUGCUACUCCUAAGCUAAAAGCAACAACUUUAUGCAUCAAUAAAUUGACAUCAAUUGACCCAAUAUAUUUGAUCAACGAACCAAGUUACCCUAGGGAUAACAGCGCAAUCUACUUUAAGAGCCCAUAUCGACAAGUAGGUUUACGACCUCGAUGUUGGAUCAGGGUAUCCUAGUGGUGCAGCCGCUACUAAUGGUUCGUUUGUUCAACGAUUAAAACCCUACGUGAUCUGAGUUCAGACGGGA